rnacentral:rRNA from 1 species
AACGAACGCUGGCGGCAGGCCUAACACAUGCAAGUCGAGCGAGGACUUCGGGUCUAGCGGCGGACGGGUGAGUAACGCGUGGGAAUGUGCGAUUCUCUACGUAAUAGCCCAGUAAAACUGGGAGUAAUACCGGAUACGCGCUAGAGGGGAAAGAUAUAUCGGGGUAGGAUCAGCCCGCGUUCGAUUAGGUAGUUGGUAGGGUAAUGGCCUACCAAGCCGACGAUCCAUAGCUGGUUUGAGUGGAUGACCGGCCACACUGGGACUGGGACACGGCCUAGAGUACAACGGGAGGCAGCCGGGGGGAAGCUGAGGCAAUGGGGGGAAACCUAUGCUAGCCAUGCCGUGUGAGUGAUGAAGGCCUUAGGGUUGUAAAGCUCUUUCAGCUGGGAAGAUAAUGACAGUACCAUCAGAAGAAGCCCCGGCUAACUCCGUG